rnacentral:rRNA from 1 species
GACGAACGCUGGCGGCGUGCUUAACACAUGCGAGUCGAACGGAAAGGCCCUGCUUUUGUGGGGUGCUCGAGUGGCGAACGGGUGAGUAACACGUGAGUAACCUGCCCUUGACUUUGGGAUAACUUCAGGAAACUGGGGCUAAUACCGGAUAGGAGCUCCUGCUGCAUGGUGGGGGUUGGAAAGUUUCGGCGGUUGGGGAUGGACUCGCGGCUUAUCAGCUUGUUGGUGGGGUAGUGGCUUACCAAGGCUUUGACGGGUAGCCGGCCUGAGAGGGUGACCGGCCACAGUGGGACUGAGAUACGGCCCAGACUCCUACGGGAGGCAGCAGUAGGGAAUAGUGCACAAUGGGCGGAAGCCUGAUGCAGCAACGCCGCGUGCGGGAUGACGGCCUUCGGGUUGUAAACCGCUUUCGCCUGUGACGAAGCGUGAGUGACGGUAAUGGGUAAAGAAGCACCGGCUAACUACGUG